GAUGAACGCUGGCGGCGUGCCUAAUACAUGCAAGUCGAGCGAACAGACGAGGAGCUUGCUCCUCUGACGUUAGCGGCGGACGGGUGAGUAACACGUGGAUAACCUACCUAUAAGACUGGGAUAACUUCGGGAAACCGGAGCUAAUACCGGAUAAUAUAUUGAACCGCAUGGUUCAGUAGUGAAAGACGGUUUUGCUGUCACUUAUAGAUGGAUCCGCGCCGCAUUAGCUAGUUGGUAAGGUAACAGCUUACCAAGGCAACGAUGCGUAGCCGACCUGAGAGGGUGAUCGGCCACACUGGAACUGAGACACGGUCCAGACUCCUACGGGAGGCAGCAGUAGGGAAUCUUCCGCAAUGGGCGAGAGCCUGACGGAGCAACGCCGCGUGAGUGAUGAAGGUCUUCGGAUCGUAAAACUCUGUUAUUAGGGAAGAACAAAUGUGUAAGUAACUAUGCACGUCUUGACGGUACCUAAUCAGAAAGCCACGGCUAACUACGUG
rnacentral:rRNA from 1 species